rnacentral:rRNA from 1 species
ACCCGAAGCUAUGAACCGAAGCCCCAGUAAACGGCGGCCGUAACUAUAACGGUCCUAAGGUAGCGAAAUUCCUUGUCAGGUAAAUUCUGACCCGCACGAAUGGCGUAACGACUUGGGCGCUGUCUCAACGAGAGAUCCGGUGAAAUUUUAAUACCUGUGAAGAUGCAGGUUACCCGCGACAAGACGGAAAGACCCCAUGGAGCUUUACUGCAGCUUGAUAUUGAAUUUGGGUACGAUCUGUACAGGAUAGGUGGGAGCCGUAGAG